rnacentral:rRNA from 1 species
GACGAACGCUGGCGGCGUGCUUAACACAUGCAAGUCGAACGGAAAGGCCCUGCUUUUGUGGGGUGCUCGAGUGGCGAACGGGUGAGUAACACGUGAGUAACCUGCCCUUGACUUUGGGAUAACUUCAGGAAACUUGGGCUAAUACCGGAUAGGAGUUCCUGCUGCAUGGUGGGGGUUGGAAAGUUUCGGCGGUUGGGGAUGGACUCGCGGCUUAUCAGCUUGUUGGUGGGGUAGUGGCUUACCAAGGCUUUGACGGGUAGCCGGCCUGGGAGGGUGGCCGGCCACAUUGGGCCUGGGAUACGGCCCAGACUCCUGCGGGAGGCAGCAGUGGGGAAUAGUACACAAUGGGCGGAAGCCUGAUGCAGCAACGCCGCGUGCGGGAUGACGGCCUUCGGGUUGUAAACCGCUUUCGCCUGUGACGAAGCGUGAGUGACGGUAAUGGGUAAAGAAGCACCGGCUAACUACGUG